CUGUGUCUUUGUCUUCACAGCAGCAGCUUCUGAGGAGAGAAGCAAGCCUGUUUGCUUGGUACGACAGGAGUGGCCCCUCUACCUUUUGAAAUAUCUCUGAGGGAAGGGAGUGGUGAAAUGUGAACACAGGGCUGUUAUAAUCACUAAUCUUUGGAUAAAGAGGAAGCUGUUGAAUUCAGAACAAAGGUGUUAAUUGGUGGCAACCCAAAGAAGUCUUUGUUCCCAGCUCUGUCUCAGAGCCUGGACCACUGAAGAUGAUGGAGAUGUUUCCACUGAAUUGACAUUCUAAUAGCUGAAGAUGCAGCCUGACUCAAUAGUGACCUGACUGAUCUCACAGUAAGAUAACUUGUUAGUGACUCAGCUGUGCUA
rnacentral:lncRNA from 1 species